CUACGCGCAAUCAAUCAUCAUUACACCGAUCGCUCGCCAAUCUCUCACACACCUAUCCAAUCCAUCGUUUAAAAUCGCGUCGGUCACCGCCGCCGUCGCAGUCCCAGAACCCCUUUCCCCGCGCGUCGCGCCUCUCGCGUCACCGCGCUCGCCACCGCGUCCAGCUCCAACCUCGCCCGCUCGCUCCUCGACCGCGCCACCAUCACCGCCGCGCUCACCACCGCGAUCACCAUCACGCACAGGAUCGUCCUGCGUCAUCGCGCGCGUCCGCGCGUCGGAGUCAGUCUCUCGUCUCGCGUCGCGCGCGCGCGCGUCGUCGUCGUCGUCGUCGCGCGCGCCUGUGUUUCCGUCGGAGCCAUCGCGGGGUGUUCGGCAGGUCGAGCCCGCGCCCGCGCAGCGACUUGACGCUCGACAUCGCGUGCUCGAUGUGCGUCAGCGAAUCGCUUCGACGCAUCGCGCGCGACGACGCGACGCGACGGCGCGACGCGACGGCGCG
rnacentral:lncRNA from 1 species